rnacentral:tRNA from 1 species
GAGGAUAUGGCUCAGAGGUAGAGUGCUUGCUUAGCAUGUAUGAGGCACUGGGUUCCAUACUCAGCACCACA